ACUCCUCGCUCCGCUCCUUCCUCCGCGGGAAGGGCAGGCCCCGGAGGCAGCGAGCGCCCCGGGGGUGGCCGGGCAGCCGGAUGCUCCCGGGGUUGCGGGCUGUGGCCCCGGGGGCUGAGGGCGGCGCGGGUGCGGCGGAAGCAGGGAAGCCGCGAACCGGCCUUCUGGCUGGCCACAGCGCCCUGCACGGACGAUCAGUGAAUGGAGAUUACUCAAGUAUUUAUCGAGAACUUGCAGUGGGCUAGGCACAGUUCAGGUCCACAGUUAUUUCACUUCUAAAUAAAUAUGGUUUUUUAAAAGUGGCACGCGGUGGAAUGUAAUUGAGACAGGAUGGAGUUCCUAGAGAAAUUUUACUUCCUCAAUCUGCACUCCACCUUACUUAAAAUACAGUCUUGGGUCUGUAAUUCCCUUAUCUGACUCUCAAGGAAAUGACAAAGUAAUGCCUAGAUUGGACUAAACCUCAUUUAACUUCAAGGCUGACCUUUCUCAAAGUUGAACCUUCGUCUUGUGAGGAACAGAAAGAUCAAGAACUCUGAAGCACCUCGACUUUCCACCUGUGAAGAUGUGUUCAAAUUUGCAACGUGCGGCCACACCUAUGAGGUCACUCCCUCUGGAGGAAACCAGCUGCCACUUUGUGAGGAUACUCAUAGUCCUGUGGAGGCAUAUCCUCCAUAUGGCUGAGACCUCCUGCGAACAACCAUCACUGACUUGCCAGACAUGAGUGUGCCACCUUGGAAGCAGAUUUUCCAGCCC
rnacentral:lncRNA from 1 species